UACGGGGGGGGUAAGCGUUGUUCGGAAUUACUGGGCGUAAAGGGCUCGUAGGCGGCCAACUAAGUCAGACGUGAAAUCCCUCAGCUUAACUGGGGAACUGCGUCUGAUACUGGAUGGCUUGGAUUCGGGAGAGGAAUGCGGAAUUCCAGGUGUAGCGGUGAAAUGCGUAGAUAUCUGGAGGAACACCGGCGGCGAAGGCGGCAUUCUGGACCGACAUUGACGCUGAGGAGCGAAAGCCAGGGGAGCAAACGGG
rnacentral:rRNA from 1 species